CUGGUGAUUCUGUGACCAGUCAUUAAUACAGAUUACUACAAAAAGGUUUACUCUAUAUGUGUUGGUUUCUAUAGGCCUCUCUUUCUGUUUACACAAGAUACAAGAUUCUGACUCAACUUCAGUACCUGACCACCAUGUAUUCAUGUGACUUAAGCCUGGGGAUAACCGGAGUAAGCAGACCUGACUAUAAAUAGGCUGCCGGAGCAGACUGUGAGAGAUUGGAUCUACUCCAUUUUAUAUAUGUCACAUUAAAAUAUCUACAAUAUUUUGUGUUUGUUUUCACAAAGAAUCAGACAAUUAGAUCCUGGGAGUCUGUGGGCAAUUGCAUCCAUUUGCCUUUCCAGGAGGACAGCCCUGCAUACAAUUAAAGUCGCAAGUAAUCAAGAAAAUGAACAGUUUCUACCAGAAAAUGGAUAUGUAUCCUAUGUAAAAUCUAUAAA